GGCGCACGCAGCGAUCAGGAACAUUCGUUUUAACGAUCGGAGGUGGCGGGUGGCGCUGACGGGAAGUACAUUCCCCACAGCAUUAUUUCUUAAGAGCUGAUGAUAUGUAUAUAUAUCUAUUCUGAGUAUCAUAGGCCAAAGUACCCGCCCCUAUUAUACAAUGAUUGGAUACCAAGACUGUCAGUCACAACAAAAGCAGUUUCUAGUUGAGAUUAAUACCGCAAUGCAUUGUGGGUUAUAUAAUAAUAAAAGUUUUACUCGCAUUGGGUAGAUAUAAGAGUGGUUAUUAUUAAAGUAAUAUGCAGAUACAUAGAAGGUUUCCUAUCUAAGUGACCUUUCAGUACCUGGGUUUCCAAAUUUUUGUACAAGUUAUCUCACUAUAAGGCCACACUGAUUGUUCAUCAGAAAGCCUCGGUGUUAUAUAGGAAUUUCCAUACUAUACGUUCCAGUCAUUUGAGAUAUACCCCUGAUGAAGUCAUUUGUAUAAGACGAAACACGUUGGGUUGUCUGUGUUGUGAAGUUAUCUCCGAACCAACUUUAAGGAGAAGGAGGAGAUUGUUGUGAUCCUUCCGCAUUUGUGUAUUCAGCGCUAAGAGUCAUACAACUUAAAGUGUGGAAUAAUACAUCUCCUCUGUAUUAAUUUGAAUAUGUUUUUAAUAAAUGUUUUA